AGAUCACGAAAAGUCUUGGCUAAGAUAACUAUAUGCAUUUUUAGACUGAAGAUGUAUCCUGUUCUUCAGAUUUAUGCAGUAGCCAUGUUUGUCAAAGUAUUUGGCACCAGUGACAUCAUCUUUGUUGAAACGCCGGACAACGUGAUGAGUCCCAGAUGUUAAUGCACACUGAGAGUGAAGAAAGUGUUGAUCUUUGAAUUUUAUUCUAACAACUAUGGAGGAGUGCACUCACUUUACAUUCUGGGGUUGAUGGAUGAAUACGUGUUUUUUUUACAAGGCAUCCUAAAGCUGUUAAACCUCAGAGGCCUUUUAAAGGAUGAGCAAGAACAAACAAUGUGAUUAAAGGGAGCUGCCAAAAGCUGUACAGGUGUCAGCUGCCACCACUCUUCAUUUCAUGGAUGAAGCUGUCAACUUUUAAUUUAUAGACAAUUUAAGAAGGGGUACGUGAAGGCUUGAAAAGAAGGCUUUCUUUUGUUAAAAGGAAAAAGAGAAUUGUUAUGAAGAACUUCUGCUGGAAU